rnacentral:tRNA from 1 species
GCCUUCGUGAAGUAGUGGUCAGCAUGCUCGACACUUAACCGAGAACUUCCUGGUUCGAUUCCCGGCGAAGGUG